rnacentral:rRNA from 1 species
CAGCCGCCGCGGUAAUACCGGCGGCCCGAGUGGCGGCCACUAUUAUUGGGCCUAAAGCGUCCGUAGCCGGGCUGGUAAGUCCCCCGGGAAAUCUGGCGGCUUAACCGUCAGAAUUCCGGGGGAUACUGCCAGCCUAGGGACCGGGAGAGGCCGGGGGUAUUCCCGGGGUAGGGGUGAAAUCCUGUAAUCCCGGGAGGACCACCUGUGGCGAAGGCGCCCGGCUGGAACGGGUCCGACGGUGAGGGACGAAGGCCAGGGGAGCGAACCGGAUUAGAUACCCGGGUAGUCUUGGCUGUAAACGAUGCGGACUAGGUGUCGGGCAAGCUAAGGGCUUGUCCGGUGCCGCAGGGAAGCCGUUAAGUCCGCCGCCUGGGGAGUACGGCCGCAAGGCUGAAACUUAAAGGAAUUGGCGGG